GGUCCUGCAUGUCUAGUAUAAGCAAUUAUACAGCGAAACUGCGAAUGGCUCAUUAAAUCAGUUAUCGUUUAUUUGAUAGUACCUUACUACUUGGAUAACCGUGGUAAUUCUAGAGCUAAUACAUGCUAAAAAUCCCGACUCACGGAGGGAUGUAUUUAUUAGAUUAAAAACCAAUGCCCUUCUGGGCUCUUUGGUGAUUCAUAAUAACUUCUCGAAUCGCAUGGCCUUGCGCCGGCGAUGGUUCAUUCAAAUUUCUGCCCUAUCAACUUUCGAUGGCAGGGUCUUGGCCUGCCAUGGUUACAACGGGUAACGGAGGGUUAGGGCUCGACCCCGGAGAAGGAGCCUGAGAAACGGCUACUACAUCCAAGGAAGGCAGCAGGCGCGCAAAUUACCCAAUCCCGACUCGGGGAGGUAGUGACAAUAAAUACUGAUACAGGGCUCUUUUGGGUCUUGUAAUUGGAAUGAGUACAAUUUAAAUCCCUUAACGAGGAACAAUUGGAGGGCAAGUCUGGUGCCAGCAGCCGCGGUAAUUCCAGCUCCAAUAGCGUAUAUUAAAGUUGUUGCAGUUAAAAAGCUCGUAGUUGAACCUUGGGCCUGGCUGGCCGGUCCGCCUCACCGCGUGCACUGGUUCGGCCGGGCCUUUCCCUCUGGGGAACUGCAUGCUCUUCACUGAGCGUGUUAGGGAACCAGGACUUUUACUGUGAAAAAAUUAGAGUGUUCAAAGCAGGCCUAUGCUCGAAUACAUUAGCAUGGAAUAAUAAAAUAGGACGUGUGGUUCUAUUUUGUUGGUUUCUAGGACCGCCGUAAUGAUUAAUAGGGACAGUCGGGGGCAUCAGUAUUCAAUUGUCAGAGGUGAAAUUCUUGGAUUUAUUGAAGACUAACUACUGCGAAAGCAUUUGCCAAGGAUGUUUUCAUUAAUCAGGAACGAAAGUUAGGGGAUCGAAGACGAUCAGAUACCGUCGUAGUCUUAACCAUAAACUAUGCCGACUAAG
rnacentral:rRNA from 1 species